rnacentral:rRNA from 1 species
CCUACGGGGGGCAGCAGUGAGGAAUAUUGGUCAAUGGACGCAAGUCUGAACCAGCCAUGCCGCGUGCAGGAAGACGGCUCUAUGAGUUGUAAACUGCUUUUGUACGAGGGUAAACGCAGAUACGCGUAUCUGUCUGAAAGUAUCGGACGAAUAAGGAUCGGCUAACUCCGUGCCAGCCGCCGCGGUAAUACGGAGGAUUCAAGCGUUAUCCGGAUUUAUUGGGUUUAAAGGGUGCGUAGUCGGUCGGAUAAGUUAGUGGUGAAAUCCCGAGGCUCAACGUCGUAAUUGCCUCUGAUACUGUGCGGCUCGAGAGUAGUUGCGGUAGGCGGAAUGUAUGGUGUAGCGGUGAAAUGCUUAGAGAUCAUACAGAACACCGAUUGCGAAGGCAGCUUACCAAGCUACUUCUGACGUUGAGGCACGAAAGCGUGGGGAGCAAACAGGAUUAGAUACCCCUGUAGUC